ACUGGCUCACUGCUCCCACGGUGUCCUUACCAGCACAACUUACCCCAUCCCUCCCUAGCCCACUCUUGAGGAUACUUUCUUGCCACUGUCAGGCUUACUCCUGCCUCCUAGACUGAGGAAAGAAAAGCCUCCUGGUUUGGAGCUCAUAAUCAAGUCAGCCUUGCUGCAGGGCUCAUUUUAAGCCAGUAUCCUGGACCAGAUAAGGAAGCUGAAGCUUUGAGAAUUUAAUUUGCUCAAGGGGAGGCCAGGACAAGAAAUAAUGAAGAGUCCGAUGUGGCAGGAAUGUAGGAAACAAGUCAAUGAUGGAAGAUAAAUAUGGAGACGUGAUGAAGGCAAAAUUCUGAAGGGUCUUAGAGCCCAUUAUAAGACGUUUGGUUUUUAUGGUUAGUGAGAAGGAAAACCAUUGGGGGUGGUUGGGCAGAAGAGUAAUAUGACUUGACUUAUAUUAAAAAAAUAAUUUGGUG
rnacentral:lncRNA from 1 species